AAGUCGUAACAAGGUUUCCGUAGGUGAACCUGCGGAAGGAUCAUCAUUGAUUGACCUGGGAUAGAAUAGACCAGGUCUAAAACUAUAUUCAAUGACGUAUAGACCUAGCUUUAAACCGGUGAUGACGACGGUCAUGAAUGGUAGGUUUUUAUGAGCUAAGGUGACCGGAAUGGAAACAUUUCGGUCUGUGAUGGAUUGUGAUUACGGUCACAUGAUGAUAAACAUCACAGCUGGUGUAGGAGAGGGAGGGGGAGAUGGGUUUUUUCUAGGGGUCUUGACGAAGAGUCCGUCCUCUCUCUCUUACACCGACUUGGAGGAGACUUUUAUUAGACGAACAGAACAGGAGUUUCACCCGAUUGUGGUAAUACACACGGGAUAAAAACAGAAAACUUUCGGCAAUGGAUCUCUUGGCUAUCC
rnacentral:misc_RNA from 1 species